AGCAUGAAGUCUGCCAAGCAGUAUUACUGCCGCAUGGACCUAAACAGGAUCUGGAGGAGGAUGGUAAUGUAUAAAAGGAUGGAGCGAUGAUAAAUAAGUUAAAUAAUAGAUCAAUUUAAUACAGAUCCAGGGACAGAUUUGCAGCCGAUCGCCUCAUUAUGGGGUCAGGAAGGAAUUUUUUGCUUGGACAUAUUGAAUAUUACUAAUGGUAUGUACAAGUUUUUUCGCCUUCCUCUGGAUCACUUAUUCACUAAACUUUGAAUUGUAGCAAAUUAAAAUCUGACAGGGUUGUUCACUAAACAUCACAUUUUAUCUGGAAGUCUUUUGUAUUCUUGAAACUCCUCACAGUACAAUGUUUAUAAAAUGUAAAAAUGUUUAAAAUAUAUGUAAGCUAAAUACAAAUUUAAUGAGGAUAAAUUCAUUAAAUAAAAUUAGAAAACUUUAUUAGUUACUUUUUAAUUACUAUGGUUUACAAUAAUACAAAGACAAAGGACCUCUUACAAAUAUAAAUCCUUAAAAAUACAUUUAAAACAAUAAUAAUAAUAAUUUGCAAUUUUUGUAGCGCUUUUCUCCCUGUGAGACUCAAAGCACUUUACAAAUAUAUAAAGCAGACAUAAAAGCUAAGCGUUUCUGACAGUCAGAAGAGCUGACUGAAUGCCUAUCAAAAGUCGCAGGCCAAUGUUAAAAUAUGUUUGCCAUUUAAUUGGAGGCCAAUGCAGGGAGUGGAGAACAGGUGUUAUGUUACAUGAUCGACUUUGGUUGGUCAGUAGUCUGGCUGCUGCAUUUUGUACUGUCUGUAGGUGAUGGAGUUCUUUUUCUGGGAGGCCCAAGUAGAGUACAUUACAGUAAUCUUGACAAGAGGACGCAAAUACAUGGAUUAAUGGUGGUGCACAAGGCGUUAAAAACUCCUGUCACUUACCGGAUUCCAGCGCCGAUGCCCCUCCGCAACCAAAAGUCACCUGAUGAUCGGAAGUUCCUCUAGUGGUUGUCUGGUAGAUCGCUACUGGAGGUGGGUUUAACCCUGGCAGGUACGUAUUGCAGUUUUUGCAGGGUUAAGGGAUCUUGGACACUGUACCCAGACCACUUCAAUGAGCUGAAGUGGUAUGGGUACCUACAGUGUCCCUUUAAGGUAGUUGUUAUGGUGAGUAUAGUCAGUGCCUGCUGGCUUUUUGUGUAAAGCCUGUCUUUUUAGAGAAAAGGCAGUGUUUACAUUACAUCUCUAGUGGCCACUCCUCAGAGGUUCAGCUUCUCCAUGCUCUGCGCUGCACUCGAGAGUUCACAUAGAAAGUUCAAUCGUUAACUUCCAUAUGUGCCUAGGGUUUCUCCACUGCUGUUGCAGAUAGUGUGCAGAACUCUGUUGGAGUGGCAGGUGAACUGCAAUUCUCUGCUGUUGCGGUUGAUGAAGUGCCAAUCUCUGGCGUCUUGGCCAAUGGAACAUGGCCCUCCGCAGAUGCAGCAGUGUAGUGCCGCUCUCUGCCAUCGUGGCAGAUGGAGAAGGGUCAGGCCCCUGUUGUUCUGCAUCUUGGAAAAGUGUGUGGGUAGAGGAGCAGGAUCCUGUUGGUGCAUGUCACCGUGAAGUAGUCUGCCAGAUAUUUGAAUUAGUCCUCGUCGGAUUUGCUCUUGAGGCAGCAUCGAGGCAGUCACCAAGUGCCUCUCCAAUUUGGCCCAAAAUUCCUGAAAUAUUGCCAGUGAGGCUGUGUGCAUCAACAAAGGUCUGUGUCAGGACCUGUGCCACCGGUGAAGACUUUUCCGCCAUCUUGAGAAGCUUAGGCAUUCACAGGUUAAUGGCAACAGCUGUCUGCUAUUGAAUGGGUAGCAGUGUAGGUCAGUCCAGCUGGAACGGGAAUAACACCCAUCACUCUUCUGCCUUUCUCCAGCACAGCAGCCUGUAGGCCUCGGCAAGUCUCAACAGGCUCCCGAGUUAGGUAUCGGUGGGUUAAUCACAGCCCCACUUCAGUUUGCGUGGAAUCGCCCAGAUUUUAUUGCAGUGGCUAUAAAUAUCCCCCAAAAAUCAGUAAGCAAAGUGGGAGCUCGCCCAGUACACAUCUGAUCAGCACGUGUCUCAGGCUCCGCUGACCCUAGUUAUUUUAACACUGUAGGAUCAGGAAUACACGUUUGUGUUUCUGACCCUAUAGUGUUCCUUUAAUAAACAGCCAUAUAUAAUUGACACUAAAAUAUAUACUCCUCAUUCCUCUGUAAGAAUGUAUUCAUAAAUAUAAUGCCAAGACCCAAUUGCAGGGCAAUUUCAAAAAAAAAAGAAAAAAAAAGAAUAUGGAAAAGAUAUCUGAGUGGGAAAAAAGGAAAAGAAAAGAAUGAAAGAAAAACAAAAAUUAACAAAAAAAUUAAAAUAUGAGAAUAACAAAAAAAAAAAGAAAAAAUAUAAUUAAAAAAAUGUAAAAAUACAACAAAAAAGUAAAUAUAUAUAUAUACUGAUAUGGAAAAGAUAGCUAAAUUAAAAAAGAAAAAAGAAUAAAAGAAAGAAAACUUAAAAAAAGAACAAGAAUAAAAAUGAGAAAAUAAAUAAAAAAAACUAAUUGAAUAAAACUGAAAAUAUAAAUAAAAAAAGAAAGAAAAAAUAUAAAACAAAUAUAAGAAUAACAAAAGUAGAAAUUGAAAAUGAUUUAUUGAAUAUCUAAAAGAGCAAUAAAUUAUUGAAAAAUAUAUUAAUGAAUACAUCUCCGAGGAAUAAUUGAUUUAAAAAAAAAAAAGAAGUCUGAAGUCAAUGUCUAUAUUUAAUUCCGUGGCUGAAGGUUUUUUUUGUUUGUUUGUUUUUUUUUUAAAGGAACACUAAAACACUUGGAUUCAAGCCUGUAUUCCUAAAUUGUUAGUGUUCCUGACCCUAGUUCUAUAGGUCAGGUCGGGUUUUUGCUCUUCUGGCACCGAUUACCUCUCUUCCUCCCGCAAUUUUAUAGCUUCCUCUGGCGUAGUCCAAUCCAAUGCUCCUCAUAGGGGAACAUUGGGAUCCUGAUGCACAUGCACAGCGAACAUCAUACGCGUAUCCAAGCUUUCCCAUUUCCUAUGGGGGCUUCCGUAUCACGUGACCGAUCAGCGCACUGGAGAAUCCUCCAGUGGCUGUUUAACCCUUUCAGGUAAACAUUGCUAUUUCUGCAAAAUGGCAGUGUUUUACCUUGUAGGGUUAAAUUGACAGAACCACUGCACCCAGGCCACUUCAUUGAGAUUAAGUGGCCUGGGUGACUCUAUUGGUCCUUUCAUUUAUUAAUCCAAAAGGUUUCCCUUUGAU